rnacentral:lncRNA from 1 species
GGCAUGACAGAGCUGGAAGUCAACUUUGGCAUUAGCGAGCUCUAGCAAGUAUGGCAGAGCUGAAAGUCAGCUCUGGAUAAGGAGAUUGUUGACUCUGGCGAUCAUGGCAGAGCUGGAAGUCAGCUCUGGCGGUCAUGACAGAGCUGAAAGCCAGCUCUGGAAAUGUAGCUCUGCUCUGACAAGUUUGUUCUGCUCUGGAGAAUUCAACUCUGAUAGUGAAGUUCAGCUCUGGAGAUGGUCAGCUCUGAC